rnacentral:lncRNA from 1 species
AGAAAUUGUAAGGUAUAUAUAAGAGUUGUUGAAAGAAAAUAACUUUAUUGUAUGAAAUAUAUGUUAUUAGAUUUAUGAAAGUUUGUUUAUUUGAGUGAAAAGUGAUAUUUUAUCACAACUUCUAGCCAUCAUACUUUAGGUUUUUUUUUUUUUUUUAAUCUUCUUUCUUGAGUAAUUUUUACUCUUUUUGAUCCUAAUUCUCUCCUCCACUUCAUCUUUAUAUUGGUUUGCUGUCUUCGUCUGCCAUCGCUUCAACCACCUGAACUUCGUUCCCAAACACAUGUAGAUUUUUGAAUUUCUACAUUGUUUCUAGAUGUACUUGAGCCCAAAAAUGCUUUAUUUAAUUCUUAUUAUCGUACUGUUGACUAGUAUAAUAUCUUUGAAUAAAUUGAGGAUGAAAUUAAUGAGUCAUCUAUUAUAAAAAAGACAAACAUAUUUCAAUAUGUCAAACAAUUAAAAAGAGAAGUCACUAAUUUUUUCAGUCCCGCAAAUCAUAAUUUGAUUUUGUCUAUACCUUUUGGCAUAAAGAGUAGUGGAGACAUACUAAUAAGAAUAAACUAGGUGGGAUAGGCAGGUGAUAUAUAGCUUGGGUCCCAAGUCAGCCUGGUUGCGAGAAAUAUGGAAAUAUUUCCAAUGCUAACUCGAAAAAUUCAAACUUUUUAGCAAUUUUGCCAAUCAAACAGGGCCAAUGACUAGUGUUCUAAAAGGCUGAUGUUCAGCCAAAACACCAAGCCAAGUGGCUUGGCGCCUUAAUAGGUAGUUAACAAUUUCCAUUGACUGCGCGCAUCGGCGAGCAUUAUCAUCCUUUUUUAAUUUUUUUUUUUUUUUUUUGUGGUGUUAAAAAAUUAUCAAUGGCUAAUUUCUUCAUUUUGCCCUAAUUUAAAACAACCAAUUGUAUUGGAAGACAUGGAGGAUGAAUUUAAUGAAGAAGAGAUAUUGAAUUGGAGUUCAAUAAAAAGUUAAAUAAGAUUUAAGUUCCUAUAUUAUAUAUUUACUAAUUUGUAUUUAAAUUUGAAAUUUAUCUUUUUAUUGAAAAUUUUGAAAAAAGUGUAUAACAUUCCUAUAAAUCUGUUUUAAAUGUUUAGUAAGUAUUAUUUUUAAUUAUUAAAUAUUUAUUGAUUUAUUAAAAAUUAAAAUAAUAUUGAAAUAAGAAAAUGCAUUUUUACGCUUUUUUACGCCUAAACCUCGCCUAAGCUUGCAUUGCCCAUACCUUGGCCUCAACGCAUUGCCACGCAUUACGACUUUUAGAACACUGCCAAUGAUAGGCCUGUUAACAGGUCAAGGUGUUGGCAACACCUUGGGCCUUGAUUGUUAUAUUGUGGGCCCCAUGAAAUUCACACCUCGGUCCUGGAUUUAAACCCGGGAUUUAAUCCCGAGUUUUGUUGCAAGCACCACUUUUUAGAGUCCGCAAGUUAUGAAGGAGUCCUCUUUUAACCCUUUAUCUGGUAAUAACAUCAACCCUUUGUCUGGUAAUAACACCAACCAUAUGAUGAUCUAUCAUCUCGAUCGGAAGAAAGUUUGAAUGGUUUAUUCAAUGUAAGGGCUUGAUUGGUCGUACUUAUACAGCAGUGGUGCCCCGAAACAAAGGGGCCAUCCAUUCGCAGUCGCUACGACAGGGUCAUUUUGUAAUCCGAAUGCCACAAAAAAUUAGGUUAGAAUGGCCUUUUCUAUUUCCAACAUUAAAAGUAUUGUAAUAAAUAAUCAGGGCCGACCCUCAUAUUUUGGGGGCCUUAUGCCAAUUUCAAACUGGGGCCCUAUAUUUUGAGUUAUUUUGUAUAGAGUUUUAGCCCCUGUUUGAUGGAGAUUAAGCUAUUGUUUGAGGCCUAUUUUUUCAUCAAAAUACAUUUUUCAACAAUAAUUUGACACCAUUUCAACCAUACAUUUUUCAAUAAAAUAAUAUUACACGUAAAUCCAAAUUUUUUCUUAUUUUUUAACCAAACAUUCUCCAUCGUAACACUAUUUCAAAAUGAAUUUGUUUUUUUUUUAAAGAAAAAAUGGGGCUCAAACAACUCCUAAAAUAUAAUUUUCAUUUUUUUCAAAAUGCAUUAUUAGUUUCUUAUGUUUGUAUAUGAUACUUCUAUAUUACAGAAUUUCAUAAAUAUAAUUUUCAUUUUUUUUCGACCAACCAAUUAACUUUACAUAAUUUGGGACCCUCACCAAAAUGGGGCCUUAGGCGAUCGUCUGCUUCGCCUGUACUCAGGGCCACCAUAUAAAUACUUUCUAUAAUUAACACUGGAACUAAAAUACUCGAGAUUUUUCAAGAAUUUUGUUAUCUGAUCAAGAACUCCACUAAAACGACCCUGAGAGAUGAAAAGAUAGACAUGCAUAUCUAUCACAUGCAUUUAUUAAAUGGAAAAUCAUUAAUGUUAAAUAAUUCAUUAACUUCACUAAACUACUUCAAUUAAGAUUUCAUUAAUGUUAAAGUUUUCUUAAUAAAUUACAUAAGCCACAUAAAUUCUUACGUUAUCAAUUAGAGAGCGGUUUACAGAUGAAGGAAUGGGGAAAUUAAAUCCCUCUCUUAGUUGUCCACUACAAUAAUUCUUGAUUUAUUGCAUUAUAUAAAUCAAGAGUCAAGACCUAUCUUUCAUUCACAAAUUGAGAUGCCUUCCAAAUUUUUUCUCUUGGUUAUUGGUAUUCUGGCUUGCACCAGCACUGCAAGAAACCUUGUUGGCCCAAAGGGUUCUUUCAAUGAUGAGAAAACAUUCUCCUUGGAUCAUCCAAUUUCAGGAUUCAGAGGGUUUGGUGAUGGAGGUGGUUUAGGGGGCGGUAUUGGGGGAGGGAUAGGUGGAGGAGCUGGUGGCGGCAUUGGUGGACCUGGUGGAAGUAUCAGUGGAGGGUUUGGUGGAGGUGGAGGAGGAGGAAUAGAUGAGGAUGGUUCUAUAGGCUUUGGAGGAGGAAUUGGUGGUGGGAUUGAAGGUAAUAUUGGAGGAGUACGACAAGGUUUUGGUGGCGGAGUCGGUGGUGGAGGCGGAUUGGGUGGAGGAUCUGGUGGUGGAUUUGGUGGAGGAGCUGGUGUGUAAUUGAAGAUGUUAGGUACAUUCGCACGCUUUAUUUUUCCAUGCAAAUUAUCUCUUUAUGUUCUAAUGUUAAUUUUGGUUAUAUUCUUAUAAUCUGGUCACAAGUUUAAUUCGUUCUUAUUCAAAAUAAUGUAAUCCUUAUGACCAUCUUAAAGUUGGUUAAGUGGGAAAUGUAAUGCGAAAGAGCUAGCAGAAAUUUGUUUUAAACCAAACUCAAUUUCAAGUACAUGUUCUCGACAAAUACAUAUUGAGAUGUUUGUGAAGAUAUAUAAAUAUUUAUUAGUUAUAUUGAAGACCUAUCAAAGAAAGGAAAACAAAAACUACAAUUAAAAAAUACUUUCUAAUUCAUUAUCGUUUUUUAAGCAAAACACCAGUUGAGAAUAGAUGGGAUUUUUAGGUCUCCACCUAAACUUAGUAAUUUAGGUUUGGACUCUUCAUCCCUCUUUAUCAAUAGAGAACAUAUCAACUUUCCUAUACAUUUUACCCAAAUAAAUAAAUAAAUAAAAUUAAAUAAACAAUUAUCCUUAAGACACCAUUCACUCUGAGCUGUAGAUAUUCUGUUUCGAAGGUGCCUAAAAAAUAUAGACACAGUAAUUUAUUAUCGACAAAUGAUUGUGUUCAAUUUUUCAUUAUUGCAUCUAUUCAAUUUGUUGAUGCAUUUUGCAUUAAGAUUCUUCAUUUUAUAAUCAUUCUUUAUUGCUUUGUCAUUUUACAGAUUGUAAUUUUAAGUACAAUGAAAGUAUUAAUCACAAAAAAACUAAAGGUGAAGUCUAUAGUAUUAUACUUCUACCUAUUUAUGAUUUGGUUCAUUUAAACUUUAUCAAAUAUAUAAGUUACAAAUUUAUUUAGUUUAUUUUGUUCUUAGGGAUGCAAAACAUCACAUACCUUGGCUGCUUCAACAUACAUGGCAUAAGAAAGCAUUAGAAAAAAGUCGACGCUUAUCAUGGACGGAAUGUACUUCUUCAUAAGGGUUAGUAUGUUUCAUUGGAUUUCUGGUGAUAAGUCAUUCACUAGUGAUGCAUAAUGUUAUCACUCUGUUUAGGGUUUACAAACUUCGAUUGAGUGUUUUGUUAUUUUCAUCUUUAAUCUCUACUGUUUAUUUG